ACGGGCUGGAUGUUAGUACAAGGUGGCAGUUGGUACAUUUCACACAAUGGACCUUGCGAAGUUAUUCAACUGCUCAAAGCAAUCCUGCCAAUAUCCAUCGCCUUCUUCCUUUGCUCUGCUCCAUUCUGUACCUGUACACCGGCGAUUUGCAAGCUAGGGUUAGCAAUUUGCUCCGUCGCCUCUCUCCCCUCCCUCCCCUCCUCGACCUCUUCUUCCCCGUGUCCUUUACCUAGUUCCAGCAUCAUACAAGUGCCAACGCCCCUCCUCUCCCGUGUAACGGCUGCGCCGCCGGCGAGCGCGUACAUGUAGCGCCGCCGUGCUUUAGGUACGGGCAACGUGGACGCAACCAUCGCAAAGAAGACGGCCACCUUCUGCAGCUUAAAGUAUCAAGGUAUUGUCUGCAUGUUCAUCUGCAAGCUCAUCUCUAGAGAAAACAAAAAGUUUGUUGUGCGGGCUAGUUGUAGAUGCAUCCACUUUGUCUCUUUCAGCCAGCCAAGAUAUCUCUGUUAGAUGACGAUGGGAGCUUGAUGGUGCUCAAGCUAUUGCUUAAGUCAGGAUAUAUUGGCAUCUGAAAUGAAGUGUAUCUCUUGUAGUAAAGUGACUGCUAAUAGAGCACAGCGGGCCUUCUGUGAAUUAAUAAACUACAACUAGUAAUGCAAUUCUGCCAGCACUCACAACUUUGACAGCCAAUGCAGUCUAUUGGACUGAGCAGAUGAGAUCCAUGGAUGAUGGAGCCGCUCGCGAAGAGCCUCUCGAAAAACGAUCCUGGCACUACACCAGUCACAAUGACAGGCUCGUUGCUGUGGCGCAACGCGGCCAGGCUCUUAACCACCAUGUUGAAGUCGUUGCGAUGGAGAACAUUGAGGAGUAUAGAGACUUGUAGAUGUGGCUGCUUCAGGAGCUGAUGAAAGUGGCUGUGGAUGGCAUCGACGGCGGUGGACACCAGUGCAAGAGCGUUGGCCCCAACGGAGCACCCCAAGCCCGCAAUCACAAUGCUUCUAGGCCUUCUGCCAGCUAUCUCCUUGUGAAAUACUCCCUCCGUUUGGAAUUACUUGUCGUAGAAAUGGAUGUAUCUAGAUGUAUUUUAGUUCUAGAUACAUCCAUUUCCAAGACAAGUAAUUCCGAACAGAGGGAGUAUAUUACAUCAUAUAUAUGCACACAGUGUUUGAAUCCGACUUUGUUUACAACAGUGGCGUGCAGAAAUUUAAAUAUGAUACUGUCAAAUUUUCAGGAUUUUC